GGACUACCAGGGUAUCUAAUCCCGUUCGCUCCCCUGGCUUUCGUGUCUCAGCGUCAGACAAGACCCAGUGUGCCGCUUUCGCCACCGGCGUUCCUUCCAAUAUCAACACAUUUCACCGCUCCACUGGAAGUUCCGCACACCCCUAUCUCACUCAAGCCAGUCAGUUUAGAGCGCAAUGCCUCGGUUAGGCCGAGGCCUUUCACACCCUACUUAGCUGGCCGCCUACACACCCUUUAAGCCCAGUGAUUCCGAAUAACGUUCGCACAGUACGUAUUACCGCGGCUGCUGGCAC
rnacentral:rRNA from 3 species